rnacentral:lncRNA from 1 species
UAGUAUCUAUCCCAAAGACCAGGGAGAAAGGAAGGAAAGAUUCUGGUUCUGUCCUCUUCCCCAAGGCAAGGCUGGCUGCCCUACCAACAGAGGCAAAGAGAAGAGUGUGCAAGGCUGGCUGCCCUCCCAACAGAGGCAAAGAGGAGUGUGUGUUGAAAUAUCCAUUGAAUCCCUGAGACAACUGGAUCCUGGCCCAUUGAAUCAUAAACUCAGUAAGUGCUACAGAACCCAGCCUAUGCAUACAUUUCUUCUUUACUGAACUGGUCAGGAGGCUGCAGGAGGAAAAGGAGUUGAAUUUUAAAGAUGUUGAUUGGGCAUGGUUUUAAUUCUUACUAAGAAUUUAGGAGCUUUGGGCCAGGCAUACCAAUCUCUGUGAAACACCAGACUGCAUCACUCACGCCUCAAUGUUUAAAGCAUAGCACAGGAAAUUAAAGUUUAAUUAUCUCGCUUUUAUGAAGAUAAAUAAACCUGACUCAUUGUUAAAGUCCAUGGGCAUCAAAUAAUUUGGGAUGCAAUAUUAGGGGAGAAAGUUUCCAUUGAAUGAGGGAAACUGUGAGAGAAGCCAUGCUCUAUAAACAAACAGUUCCCUUGUAACCUUCUACAAUACAUGUUUUGCAAGAGAUAGAGAGAGGGAGAGGAAGGGAGAGGGAGAAGGAGAGGGAAAGAGAGAGGAAGAGAGCUCAGAAGACAGACAGAAAUAUUGAAAGAAAAGAAAGUAAAUAUGGUCAAUUAUCCAAAACAAAAUCCUCUCAGAAACAAAAGAAUAAUUAUGUUUGUAUGAGUUCAAGGAGGAUUUCUUGCUCAUUCAUCAAUAAUGAUUGAUUAGUGGCUUCCAUGCUAAUAAUUUAUCUUUUAAGAGCUUUUAGAGGAAGCAUGAGAGAUUCAAGAUCUGUCAUUUGUAUUAUUUACAACCUGUAAGAGAGAAAAUAACAUGGAAAAUUUUAGUAAAUUAUAGUCAAUUUUUAUGCAAUGAAACUAUAUAGCUCUUUUUGUUAGAAAUUGUCUUACUAACUAAGCUGCUGGUGGUUCUGUGACGAAGUAGCUCCUGUUGGCUUCCCUUACACCGGGUCAGACACAGGACAUUAAUUAAGGCUGUGUGUGGUGUUUCUGAAAGGUGAGGAGACUGGGCAUUCUGUCUUUUACUCUACAGAUACAUCGUGGGAGACUCAAAGAUUAAAAUGUGGCCACUCACUGUGGAUCAGAAGUGAGUUCAGGUCACGAUCCCAUCCUUCCUACAACAUGAAAAUCCUAGAAUGACUAUUAAACCUUCCACCAGAAAUGGAGCUUUUAUUGGCAGAUGUGCUGGCUCCUUAUAACAUGCAUAUAUACAUAUGUACAUAUAUGUGUGUGUAUACAUGUCUAAUAUAAAAAUGAAAUUGAAUCAUUAAAAAAAUACAGCUUUUCAUCUUAGCAUUGAUUUUUUUAAACAUCUAUGCCUCAGAGCAAGGCUAGAUUACUUUGAUCAUGGUUUACUUGCUUUGUUGUUUGUUUUCUCAUGGUGUGAGAACUGGCUCAGUGGUACUCUGAGAAGCAUCAGUGGCAGAAAUGUUUCAAGACUUACUGCAACCUCCAUGCAGCAAAUGGGAGCUGUCAGUAGACAGGCACAACCAAGCUUCUGGAAACAGCAGCUGGGCUCUGCUGGGCCUUACAGCUUUGGUAAAUAGCACUGGUAAGGGCCGGGGGAAAAUGGACACAGAAGCAGAGUGACCAGAUGCUUCCCGACCACAUGUAAUAAGUGUCCAUGCUGGCGUGUAAUUAAUAAACAGCACAGAAAUGUUGCACUUUGGGAACUCCUCCAUAUUCUCAAGGCUUAACAUAGAUGCUCAGUCACUGAGCCUUCAUCAAGACAGCUUCACCCAAGAGGAGUAGACAGCAGAUAAUAAUCAAACUCAGGGCUGAAAUCAACCAAAUGAAAACAAAAA